GCAGAGGUAUGGAAGAGAAAUAUUUUAGCUACUAGGGUCCUGACCUCAAAUGUUAGAGGUAUUUCCAUAGCUCAUUGCCUCAUUUAGGUCAGCUUCUCUUGGGUCCCAUCUGCUGUGCUGGAACAUCUCAGGACCUAGCACACAUAAAGGGUGGAAAUUUAUGUGUGACUUGAUCACCCAUACUAAAUAUGUUUUUCUUCAGUGCUUGACAAGUGGUUAGACACUUGAGGAAAGAUGCAAGGAAGAUCACAGUUCAGUGCUAAGAGCUCCAGAGUCCAAGACUGAGCACAGAGACUGACCAGGCAAUUGCACUGCAGAUACUACUUUUACUCCUCAACUAUAAGCAUUUGUGCAGGAUACAUUUUUUUUUUUUCCUCAAGCACUGGAGACCUCUUUCCUCAGACAGCAGUGGUGGGAACAUGCCUGUUACAAAACAAACUGCUGCGCAUACAGUCAAUUCUUUUCCUUUAUUUUCUUUUUGUGGUUUUGACUCUUUAGGUGAGAAUUUUAAUAGGGAUGAGGAAGCAGCGCUGGAGUAGCAUAUCUCAAAAAAGCAAACAAGUGAGGCACAACGCAGCCAGUUCUCACGGCAGCUGGGAACUCCACCAUGAGGCUGGGGCUGUGUGGAGCUAGGAGGAGACUGGGUCUGAAUGCAGCCUGAAUGCAGCUCCUAACACCGUAACACAUCUGUAGCUCCAAUGCUCACAGUCCAAAUGUACGUGGACUCAGAGAAAGUUAAUAACCAAGAGCAAUAUCUUCAUGUUUCUUUUUUCCUCUUGCCAUGAGGGAUAGUCAGGCUUCUUGCAUUCCCUUUCUGUAGUUCAUAUACAGAUGAACUGCUCAGAUGAAUCAAAUAGUUUUGCUAAACUGAGCCAGGACUGAGCACUUUGGUGAAAAGCAUACAACUUAUCGGCCAGUAGCUGACGAGACGCAUCAGAUUCCACAUGCCUGUGUUUGGUGUUCCUCCAUUUGGGAUUGUUCCUCCAUAAGGGCUGUCUCUCUUUCAUAUGAGAUAUUCACCAACUAUAUUAGAUUAGAAUGAGUCUGCCUAUAUACUGUAUGUAUAUGCAAGCAGGCAAUUACUGCCAACAGGAACUAGGAUGUUGCAGUUUGAACAACAUGCUGGAGCACCCAUUCAUUUCUUUCCCAUGACUCACAGCAGUAAAUGCAGUAAGAAACAGAUGAGUGUGAUCCUCAUACAGCCUGAGGCAGAAAGCUGCCAGUGCUGCCAUAUACCAGAUAAUCCUAAUUAUAGACACUGCUGGAAGUGCUGCACACCUUUAGUGUCCUUCUUGAACAGAGUGGCAAGAAUAUGCUGACAUGUACACCCUUAACAGUGUCAACUGAGGAGCCACAGGGCCAGAAAAAUGCCUCCCGAAGAUGAGAGAAGUGUAGUUUCUUUUUCUUUUUCUUUUUUGCUUUUUUUUUUUUCUUUCUUUUUUCUUUUUUUUUUUUUUUUUUUUUUUUUUUUUUUUUUUUUUUUUUUUUUUUCUUUUUUUUUUUUUUAGUUUUUUCUUUUUUUCUUUUUUUUUUUUUCUUUUUUUUUUUUCUUUUUAUUUUUUUCUUUUUCUUUUUUUUUUUUUUUUUCUUUCUUUCUUUUUUUCUCUCUCUCUUUUUCUUUUUCUUUUUCUCUUUCUUUCUCUUUCUCUUUCUCCUUCUCUCUUUUUCUUUUUUUUUCUUCUUUAUUUUCACUUUCUAUCACCCAUGCUAAUGAAUACCUAUAGAGCUUAUUAUCAGUCUUGCAGAAUUAAGAAAAUCACUGCCAUGUGCAAGCACAAUCACUAUAGUGUUGGCUCCAAAAUAAGAGCAUAUUGAGAAGAGACAGUUAUUUUGAAGUGAAACUUGGAGCCUGCUUCUUGUUGACAGUUCCAGAGACUGAGGAGGAAGAAGAGAAGGGCAAAGACCGAGAGAGGAACAGAGUCUGAGUCUGGCCAACUGAGCAUAGCUCUGAGCCAGGUCAGGUCAUUCUAACCUUUUCUGAUUUUUUUUUUUUUACCCUUCCUUUCCUUUUAAAAUCAGGUCCCAAAUACAAGAGCUUAGUGUCAAAAGAUAAUAAUGGCUUUGGUACUUUUCUGAAGGCUCUGCUCUGUAAAUCUUCCCUAACUGUGAAAGUCAGCUGAACUUUCAAAUGCUGCCAGAAGAGUAGGCUGCAGUCCUGACUUAUAAGCUUGCACAGGACAUGCAUUUGCUGAAGGACAGGCAACCAUGGGACAGAGAAGUGUGUUCACAGCAAUUCUCAGACUUCAUCUGUAAUAUCAUGCUUGUUAAAUAAAUAUGCUUAAAAAUGCCUCUCAAGGGCUUUAGGAUGUCUACAAAAUCACUCAUGUAGCUCCUCAGACUAUUUUUUGCAUUAUGAUUAUGUAUAAGAGGCUCCAGCUGACACUGAGCUGACCUGAACUAACAAUGCAAGACAUAAAAUAUUACUUCUUGGUGCCAGAGAGAGAAAGAAAAAGAAAGGUUGUGUGUUUUUUUUUGUUUUUGUUUUGACAAAAAAAAAUCUUGAGUGCCUUCAGGUUGCAGUAGAAUCUCAUUUUAAGGAGGCAACAGGCCAAACUAGGAAUUAUUUCUGCAGAAAUAGCUUGUAAUUUCCUUCCAUCAGUUCUUAAAACAUGUUACAUUUGCAGGCUUCAUCCUCCCUUUCCAUUCUAUUGCAGAUAUAACUGGACCCACACUGCAGAAGAACUAUCAGAUGAAUAAAUUUUACACCAUUGUAAGGUUUUCUCUAGGAGAGAAGUGUGCCGGUACAAGCUUUAAAUUGGCAUUAACCCUGUCCUUUUCUUUCCAUUAACUAAUUUACAGUAACAAAACACAACAACAACAACAGCAAAACAAGCCAGAGGAUUUAGUACAUUGUGGGUGGCAUCUGAUGUAAUUAAAAAGCUAGUUUAACUGAAAACCACAAUGGUUUCUGUCAUUCCUCCUGGAAAUAGUUCUUGGGGAACUUUUCCAAUGAAAAAAUAUUUACCAGAGGAUAGCUACUAUUAAAAAAAAAAAAAAAAAGUAGGAAUUAGGUGAAAGAAUCUCUAUUCCAAAGUGCUUUCUUGAACUAAAAUAGUUUUCCUUUUUCAGAUGAAUAUCAUCUGCUUCUAUCUGGUAGACAUGAAGUACAAAAGAUAUUUCAUGCAUUCCCUCUACACAUUAUUUCCUUAAAUUCCCUUUCCUACAUGAUGGUGUUGGACUAUCUUCCUGCUGCCACCAAGGGACUGCCUGGACCAUCACUACGCAUGUUUUUCCAAGAGCAUACACAUUUCGGUCAUUCCAACAAAGACUGAACCAGCAGCAGCACCAGGGGAAGACUCUUGCCAUGAACAGCUGGAGAAGAUGUUCCAAAAACAAGAAGUGGCAUACUGCGACAGCCCCAGGAGCAGCAAGUCGCUGUGCAGAAGGAACCUGUUGGUUUGCGGGGAAUAACAGUGGCUUCAGCACGAGGAAACAACAGAAUGAGAUGUCUGUCCAAGCAAAACCCUUUCCUUUUGGUUCUCUCUUUCGAUAUGGAGCACCCUGUCCAUAGCAUCUGAACCCCUCUGUAAAUCAAAUGCUGUGUCCUAAAUCAUUCAGAGGAAAGCAAACCUCCCCAAACUGCAGUUUGCUGGCUCCAGGCAGAAGAGUGAUAAAAGCUACAAAAAGUAUUGUUAUGCUGUUCAGAAUUAUACAAUCACAAGCCCCAGGGGUCUUUGCUUUAGAAGUUUCCUGUUGGCAGUAAAUCUCAAAAUACUAAAUAGUAACAGCACUCUGCUGACACAGGAAUUGAAACAAUUUGGUGAUGUUUCUCUGAGCCCUUUGACUUACUGACCUCAACAUACUUCUGUCUUACAAAUACAAACCUGUGAGACAUCGCUCUAGUUUUCCUGGAUUGUCAAACCAGUCACAAAUUUCCAAUUAACCUGUUGACCUAGCACUUGCAGAUGGGAUUGAUUUGCUGAUAAAGGCUUUGUCUGGGACAGACAGGAGUUAUCUUGUGGGACCACAUGCAAGUGUUAGUGCUAAUACUGCACUCAUUCCUUGUACGGAUAAAUUACAGCUCUGGGCAGCACUGUGAGAUAGGAAUGCUUGUUAUCUAUUAUCUAUAACUAACCAUGAGCAUUCUGGAUACUUUUUGUGGUACUGCCAUACAACAAGGUAUCUUGUCUUCUGCCAGCAGUAAUGGGUAAGCACUAUUGUACUGCAAAGAUUCAAAUGCCAACAAAAGCAAAUGACACUGUUACUGGCUUACCCUGACGAAGGUUUCCUCAGUAAGUGCAAAAUCCUCCUCAUCCUCUGAAUUACCUCUAGCCCCUCUUUGGGAUUAUUUAAUAGUUAGAUCUUCCCAGGUGAUGCAGAAACAGGACUUUUUCUUGUGAGUAGUUGCACAGAACUUGACACCUUCAUCACCAAUACAGUUCAGAGCAUCAAUUAAAAAAGGGCAAUAUAUCUACUUGACACAUAUGCUAGGCCAGGAGUUGUGUUAAACAAGGGCAGUAUAUACACACAAUGCAGCAUGCUCUGCUGUGGGCAGUGAAUAACAGGCCCCAGGAAAAGGGCAUCCCUGCAUACGAGUGCCUUGGCAUUCACAUGAUAGCCAGAAUUCCCAAAUAUACAGAUUGCAGAAAUUUGGGUUGGCAAAGGACUCUGCAAGUUUUGCUGUCCUAACCAGGGCUCAGUGUCUCAGGAGUAAAGUCAAAUUGCUUAAGAAGAUGCAAAGUCACCCCAGCAUUACAGGAUAGAAAUCCAGAUUAUUUGAAAAAAGGAGUUGCUUUAUUUUUAAAAAAUCAAGCAUACCAUGAUGCCAUCUGUUUCAGUGGUCUUUUUUCAUCUAUAUUUUCAGCUUGGUGCAGAUUUAUGUGCUGAUGACUGGGACUUUAACACAGAAAUCCUAAAGAUGGUGUUAAAAGACACACAGCUUCUGAGUUCAGUAUAAAUGGAAGCAAUUUAACAGCUAAGAAGGCGUUUGUGAAUGGGGCUAGGAUGAUGAACAGGAUAUUCUGCAGAACAGCUGACUACACAUGGAAACUGCAAUGGACUGCUGAACUAGUUCAUCCUUGAGAUAGAAGAUGGACUUUGCACACUGCCUAGAGAGACACUCCUGAACCAUACUUGCAGUAGGCUCAGUUGCAGUUACAGAAGCAGCUCCUGUCCCCCACAACCAACCCCGUCCCCUACAGUGCUGCUGGCUAUGGCUCUGCAGAUGCUUCCUGGCAGAACUAAAGCAAGCACUUUCUGUCUCCUUUGUUCUCUGGCCUCCUCCCCCUGCCAUCUUCUCCCCCAGUUCUGGUAGUUGCAAAGUUUGUGAAACUGCUUCUAAAGACACAAGUUAACCAAACCAAGGAACUGAUGAAGGUUAAAAAUAACUAUGUUAAAAAGAAAAAGAAAAAAAAAGAGGGAAAAGGAAAGGAAAAGGAAAGAAAAAAAAGGAAAGGAAAAGGAAAGGAAAAGGAAAGGAAAAGGAAAGGAAAAGGAAAGGAAAAGGAAAGGAAAAGGAAAGGAGCAGUUUUAGUUCAGAGACAAACAUCCAAGGGCUCACAGCUUCCAUAGUGGAGAUGGCUGAAUUGAAAACACAUUCUUUACAGUCCUACCAUUGCUUCCAGCCUAACAUGUAAAUUGAUGAUGACUUCAGCUUAUAUUAUGAAGUGAGGAGAAUAAGGAGCAGAUACAUGCUCCCGUUGGCUGCUCCUGCAGUGCUGAGGACAGUAGCCACAGACAAAAAGGCUGGAGGGAGGAAAUCAACCGCUAGAGCUGAAGUUCCUUGUGAUGGUGAGUCAGCAACCUUGGGCUUUAAGUAGCAGUAUGAUUCUGAUUCAAUUUCUCGCUUUUUUGUUCUUUUCAGAAAUAUCAAUAUUAAAAUUAAAUAUCAAAUUCUGGAGUGCAAUUCCAUGGCAAAAGUUUGUGGAACAAGCCAGAAGACUUGCUCAGUAAAUUGGGUAGGAGUCUGUAGUUGUUUGCUUCUGCAAGUUGUAUUUCCUAUCACUUCAGAAUAAUUCUGAUUUGGUGCUGGGUAGCUUUUACCAGAGUUUUUCAUCCCUUUAGAACAUGAAACCAAAUUCAUCUUAAGCCACCCAGUAUUCGUGAUCUCUGUUCUAACACCUAUACUUUCAAUAACAAUAAUGAAGUGACUAUUCUUCCUCACUCUCAUAAUUAGGACUCUCAUUCUAUGAUUUUCAUACAAUUGGUUUUUUUUACAGACUUCUGUCCAUUAAACAUUGGUGAGGCAUCUGAAGUUACUGUCAGUCGCCAACAUAGGCAGGUCAGCAAAAUCUCCUUGUGGAGACACCCUUACAUUGGUGUGACUGGCUUCUGGAAAGGGGGAAAGCAAAAUAAAUAGAUAAAUAAAUAAAAAUUACAUUAUCAUUACCAGAUAUAGCAUUGCCAGUAUAGCUGGGCAUAUGCUGUGAUCAUUCUCCCGGCACUGUUAUGCUUGUUACUGUAAAAGACACCCAGUGUAGACAGAGCUUUCUGUUAAGCACCAGAAAAGCUUUUAUUAAGUAGCAUGUACACCCUUUAGUACAGCCUGAUGCUUUUAAUAUAUUAGAGUAUACCUGUUUUUUCUUGUGAAUAUCAACUAUUUUUUGCAUACACACAAAGAAAGAAAUCCCAAAAUAAGAGCUCUUGCUUUUAUCCAGAAUGUAAAAGUUUUAUUAACUUGCCAAAGCUAACUGAAUUUUUAUAGAAAAAUUAGUGACACCACUAAUGUAUUUAAUGUCUCAGAUCUUAUUCUUGGGAAUACAGCUCAAAACCAAGCUUUUCCUAAUGCAUACUAAGCAAUGACAUCAGUUAAUCAUUGUCUGAAGCCAUAUAAUUAAAAAGAAAGUCCUUCACUAAAUAAUUCCAGUACAUUUAUGACAAUAAGCUGUUUUUAAUUCUGUAAACUAAACCUGCUUUGACAAUGUCUCCAGAUUUCCCUCUGCUGGGAAAAUAGUAACAUUGCUCACCAGAAAUAAACCAUCCCCGUCUGUUUGCAACAGUUUUGUAUGGAACACUGUUUAUAUAUAUAUGUUAUAUAAAGUUUAUAAAUGUUGGCAGAAAGUACAACUUCCUUGUGCAUCAGACUGAUGAGAUACUGAUGAGAUAUGACAUUCAUGCCCCUGACGACAGCUUAAGUGGCCUUGGUCACUUCAGUCUCCCAGGAUGAUUAGAGCCUAAGAGCAGACACAGCGGAAGGGUGUGGAGAGAGACAUCUCCACGCAGCUAACUCUUUGGGAAUUUUAGCUUUAUGUUUUCAUACAGGUGUAGUCUGAGCUACUGCACAGUACAACACUAAUCCCUCACUGUCAUGACCACAGCUUCCAGUCUUCCCUAUUUCCAGAUCUCCCAAGGAUAACUACUUGCUCUCAAGGCCUCCUUAUUUAUGCACAUUCAUGUCAGCAGAACUGGCAUCAGCAGUGCUGGCCUUCAUUCCCGUUUAAGUAAUUCACUGCUAGUACAAGAGGGUAACAUUACACAUCAAAGGACUGACUGAGCUAGAAAAAAUUGAACAGGCUAGGUCCUGUUCAGCUCACUGCAGCUACACAGAGCAGGGUAAAAAGGCACAGUAUUCAUCCUCAUGAUAUGCAUUUGCUUGCUGUGUUGGAGAACAGAGUAGUUAGUGAAUUCUGCCUCAGGAGUCUUCCAAUUUUUUUCAAUCACUAUGGCCUUGAAGGAUGACAUGUUAGAGAAUAUAACUCUCUGUGGAUGAAGAAGUAGCUUGCAGAGUAUAACAAAGCCAAUUUAACAGCUCCCAUUUAGAAAAACUAUACAGAAACUCAUUGCUCCCAUGUUAGAAAAAAAAAAUAGCUAUGCUCUGGAUAUGAGUAGGGAAGUUGCUAUGUUAAAUAUUAAAUUACAUGUUUUUCAUGAGAGAUAAUAUUUUGCUUCCCCUUACUUCGCAGUCUUUUUCAGAUAAACAUUUUUCCCCUACUCUUGCAUUUUCUAUAGGAAAAAAAAAACAAAACAAAAGAAAACAAAGCAGGAAGACAACUGACACUAUUCUUAUUCCAAAGAGAUCAGCAUUUGUGGCUCUACCUUGCACUGGCACCAGCCAGAAAGUUCCUCUGCAGGUCCAGAUCCCAGUCUACACUGUGGUCCUGCUCUGCUGAAUGCAGACUGCAUUUUCAUUGCUUGGAGAUUAUUUUAAUAUUCAUGCAUAUGAGCAGUGUUGUGCUAGCAACACUAAAAAGGUACAAAUUUGACUCAGAUAUCAUCACAUUACAGAACAUUUCUUUAGUAGUUACAUACUAGUAUAAUUUUCCCAUGGUCUUGCAGUUGCCUUCACACAAGUAACAGAGCUUUCAUUUACAGCAUGCUGUGUUUGACUCCAGGAUAUGGAUCUAUUUGUUCUUACCUGGACUGCAGCCUGUUGCAGAACUAUAAUACUCCAAAUAAUGCACACAGAAACCACUAUUUUCAGCUAAUGCUUUCUAUUAGAUCCCAUAUAGUGUACCCUUGCCCUUCUUCGAUGUAUGUAUUUUAUAUACUCAGAUUCAUUUUCGGAUGACUCUAAUAUAGGCUCUAAUUCUUCUCAACUGCCUGGGAGAACUCAUCUUUCACAAAUCUAGAAGGGCGAAAACUAAAACAAAACUAGUUCAAACAAAACUCCCACCCCUGAUUCACUACCCUGUCACACACAGCUGGUCAACUGCAAAUUUCUUCCUAUUGCUGAGGUUACAUUAACUUUCUUGGGUUAUUCAAUCUUUAGUCAUUCUCAUCAGAUCUUUUGUGGGGUUUACAGCUUGGACAUCUUGUUCAGGCAGACAGAGUUUGCUCAACGUAUUCAGUUGGUUACAGAGUGAUAACCAGUGUCAAUACCUAUCCACCUGAGCUGAGUUCAUAGCAGUUUCUGAUAAAGGAUUGUAUUUUACAGCCAGACACGCCCACAAAAUCCUCAGAAUUGGCACUACACGGUUUGCUCUGGGUAUAAAAUGGUCACCUUAUCUAGGGCUCCUCCUUAAGCUGAAAUACUGCUGCUAAAUAUUUACAGGUACGUUUACUUUUACCUGCCUUAUGGGUGGACUUUACAGUCCAUUGUCAAAAAUCACAAUGGCAGUGUCACAGUAUGUUUCUGCAGUAUGUGAAAAAAGCUAUCGUGGUAAUCUUCCUGUCAAAAGAACUGACUGGAAAGCAGAGAAUUGAAAGCACUACCAAGUGCUGUGGCAUGUACUGAGAGAUUAUUCUAUCUUAUUCUACAUUUAAAGGCUGAAGAACAUUCAGUCAAAGACAACAAGUCUUUGGUCGGGUUUUCUGUAGCAACAUUUAGCUGACAAGCCUUUAAUUGACACUGUGGAUAAAACUCCAGACAUAUUUUUUUGCUCUGCAUGUAUCCUUAAAGCCUAUGUUCUGUCAUUUUUCUGAUGUUUGAUAUAAAACAAUUAGGUCCCAGAAUGUUUCCACUGUAAUCCACAGCCCCGCGUCUUGCCCAGGAAUGCUGUGGUACGCCACCAGCAGUUAGGGUGAAGUGUGGCAAUCUGCGACUGUUGUGCUUGCAUCCCAAUGCUUGAUCUCAGACUCCUAUUUAAAGCUACUGAAAAGUACAUUGUUUUAUUAUUGCCUCAUGUUCUAGAAAGCACUCUGCCAUUUGAAAAGGAGAAAAUCAUUCUUCCUGCUCUUGGAUGGAUAAGGCAGAAUAAACCUGAGUGAAUCUGGGAUUUUUAGUUAAGUUUUAUUGCAGUCACAUUUCCAUUUUCUGCAUUGCUGGGUGACACUGGAAGUAGGGAUGAUCAAGUUCAGUUGACAAAAUUUGGUAAAAUUAAUUUCUAAAUUUAUAACACAGAUUUCUUGCUAUUAAGUGGUUUUGCUAGGAGGGUUUUAUCCCUUUGAGAAAGAGAAACAACAACGUGAGUUAUUACUUAACUGAAGCACAGCAAAUGGUGUUGCACCUAUUAUAGUCAUAUAAAUAAUUUGUAAUGACGUAGUAGAGUUCUCACUAACGUGAAAGGAAGAAAUAGACGCUAUCAGCCUUCCUUUCCUCAGCAACUCUACAUUCAUGUUAGAUGAAUUGUACCAAAACUCAGCAGCUUUUAGUCAGUAUGUGGCACUCAUCCCCACAGUAACACUGCCUACCAAACUUCUCUUGCGUAGGGAGCUGGAAUUUUGCUCUGCAGAGCUCCAGAUUUUGUCUCCUCAAACCAUUCACAGAUCCUAAAUUCUUACUAAAAUCAAAUCUGAACAUUUGGGCUUCAUCUUCUCUUGCAGACCACCUUUUCUUACUGUGCUGCUACACAGUUGCGCUAACAUCAAGCUACGCCCCAGCUGGUCAUAAAGAGUGUGCCACAUUACCUGCAGGGCAUAUCUCCCCUGGCCCCUUUCUUAUUUUAUUUAUUUUGGCAGGCAGAGCCCCAGCCAAAGUGGUUGGAAUCCAAAGCAUCCUGGGCAUGCUGCAAAGCCCAUCUGUUCAAGGGGGAGAGAGAGAGGCAUUCUGGUUGGCACUGGGAAUACUGAACUGAAUGACACAGGGCUGGGAGGAGUGAAAGAAAAGGGUUACAAGGAUUGCCAGUCUGAUUUUUGCUUUCACAACUGUUCCUUAUGUGUUUGUUCGUAAGGGGAACACUAUGAGGAAAGAACAAGCUUCCUUUUUGUUUGUCGACAUCCCACUAUUGAUACCUACAGGCACCCAUCAGUACCAUGUUUUUUCCUGUCUGGUCUUCUCCAAAUAAGUUUCCAAGAAAAGAUCACGCUCCAAAUUCUAUUCAGUCAUCAGUAUUCUACUGAUUCACAAGUUGGACUAACACCCUACCCUAAAAUAGAGGAGAGAUAUCAAAGAUACUACUUGACUGGAGUGUUUAACCAUGCUACAGCUGCAGCUGAUUGUUGAUCAGACUAAUCAAGGAUGCAUACAUCUGCUUGAGAAAGCACGAGUUCCUUACAGUCAUAUGACAUGUCUUCCAUGAGAAGUAAAAUUAUCUCCUCGUCUCUGAGAGGGAAAUGAGAAUGAGACACAAGGCUACAGCUGCGCUGGGAAUCAAGACCUCAGCCUCCUGAGUUCCAGGCCAAUGCUUGAAUUGCUGCACAGGAAGUAAAAGCAGCAUCACAUGUGUGACAGACCUUCUUCUAUCCACAUCAACAUAAGGAAUAUGACCAGCUAUCACCUGAGCUGCCGCACUAGUUCUGUUGGCAGCUUUUAAGGAGGCCAGCUCUCUCCUCAAUGAGCCUCAGCUGACAUCAAAAAAAAAGGGUUAUUGCUGUGGGAGGCCUGUGCUAGUUAUAGAAUAAUCAGGUCCCAGUCACAGGCAGAGGAACCGCUAAAUAAAGGACAGUGACACCAGCUAGACUAUUUAAACUUAUUGGACGUUUUACAAAGGACAACUAGGGAAACAAACCACAUGGAAUGAUAAAGCAGACUUACUGUUUGGUGGUUGAGGAAGAAAACAAAUGACACAUCAUCUCAUUGCAUGCCAUAUGACAAGACUGAGCCACAUCCGAUGACUCUUUUUUACUUUCUUUCUGAACUGCUGAAGAGGAUUGGAUCUCUCUACUCUGCUCUGUUACUCAUCAUUACCUUCAACCCUGCUUAAAAUGCAAUUACAACAUCAUGUAAGCCAUGAUAUUUAAACAGCAUUGAUAUAAUUUCUAUUUAUUGUACAGCAGCCAACAAACAGCCUCUUACUUGGCAGUAGAGAGACAUGCCUUCUGUUCCUGGUCAUCUUGUUCUCCACUAGCAACUGGAUAUCACAAAAGCAAAAAUAUCAAGAGUAUGGUUGGGAAGACAGAUGUGGUGCAACAGCAUGUAAGAAUAUUUGAGUUACAUAAGUUCUUAUAGUUGAAGGUUUCCUAGGACGUGCAUUUCAAUUCUUUUUCACAGUCAUGUUUUACACAUACCACCACAAUACAAUAUGAUGCUUUUCACAAGAUCUUCAGCCAAAACACAGAAAAAGUAUGACUGAGAAUGUACAAGAAUAUGUUCAUCCAUUUUUUGAGUUUAAAGAGAUUAAGCGAUAUGAGUUUUUCUCUCAAUCAGCUGCAUGCAUAACUCACAGAAUUUAAACCUGAAAAAUUAAUAGCUUUUAGUAUUCAAGCCACACCUCAUAGACAGCUCAUAGACACCUCAUAGACAGCUACACAAUUCCAGUAUGGGCUAGACCCUCUGUGUGCUUCUUAGAAUCCAUAAUGUAAUGCUAUCUGUGAUCAUGAGAGAUUUAAAACGUUCUGUGCCUCUGAAACAGAUCUUUUUUUAAAUCUUCAGAGAUAUAAUACUGUCUCUUGCAGAGGUAUGGGUGUUCAGGUGACAGAAUCCAAUGAACAGACUGGAAUAGAAGAAAAUUUCACUGUUGAAAAAAAUAUUCUGCAGUGUUUGAUCAUAGGAUAUUACAAGCUGUGCUCCUAACACAUUUAACAAACUGCACAAGUAUGCACUGCAUGUUUAAAACAGCGAAAGCGAUGUGUCAUGGGUAGUCAUAAAACUUGGUCAUUACAUUGACCAUGUCAGUUUGUGAACUUAUCCAGCAGCAUUUUUCUACCCAUGAGCUAGUGAAGCAAGAACACCCUGAACGCCACUUCUGAUAUCUAUUAUUUCUCCUCUAUUAAGGGAUGCAAUAGGUGAAAGCGUAUUUGCCCAACAGUAACAUCUGGACUUACCACUAUAUUGACCAAAGUAUUAUGCCAACUACUGGUUCUAAUAGACAGAGGAUUCAAACCCAAAUAUUGUAUUUUACUGGGUAUUCAGACAACAAACAGUGUUUCUGAGCUUCCCUUUUCUGGAUUUGCAAAUUCUUUGGCCCUUUUAGAUAUUCCACAAGCUUGAAAACAUAUUAUAAAAUCACAUCCUCACUAUACAGAUAUCAGAAUGCCUCAACAGCCAAGAGGGGUUUUCAGGUUGCUUCUAAAUAUGGCUUAAUGUAAAGUUCAAGUAAAGAAAGGUUGAUUUAAUAGACUGAAAAAAAAAUUAAGAGUUAGACAUAAACUAAUUUGAGCUGAUCACUCUCCAUUCAUCCAAACAACAUUUACCAAGGUAGUAUACUCAAAGCAGGAUUAAGCUUCCCUCCAUUGAAUAUUCAGUUCUUUCCAGAAUUUGAGAUUUGUAUGAAGAGAAUUUUAAAGUUCCACCAGCGUCCUGAAACAUGCAAAAUAUUCAACCGUUACAGUCUCCAAAAGAAGCAAUUUAUAAAAAUCAGGGAAGAGUUUAAAGACCAUUUGUGACCAAGAAAGAAAACAGGCAUACAUGCACAUUACCAGGUGAUUGCAUUUGAAAGGUAUUGUUUACAGGAUGCUAUAUGCUCAGUCCUUUGACAUUUCUCUGUAAGCACAUCACACUUUAUAGUGCAAAUCUGCUCUCUAGUGGCAAAAACUUAUGACUCCAAUUAUACAGAAAAAAAGCCUUAGUAAAUCCCGAUGCAAUGAAGUCAGUUCAUCACUGUUUUGCAAGGGUGGGUAAUUAGAGAAAAAAUAAUUAUUGAAAAAAAAAAAAGAGCAACUGAAACUAAGAGUAUGUAAUUCUGUUUAGAUCUGACUGUUCUGGUUCCUUUCCCUGGUGGUACAUAAUUGAUCUCUUGUGACAUAGACUUAAUAUAUUUUUGAGGUAGGGCAGGUAAUCACAAAAAUAAACAACAAAAAUGAGCUAAUUUACUGCUGGUGUGAAAUGUGCAGGGUUCUAUCAGGUUCAAAUCAGCAGGCUUGAAAGCUUGUAAGACUGGAAUGUCAACUCCCAAUGCACAUGCACGUUGUUACUUGUCAGUAACACUUCUUUCCCUCUAAGCUGGGAAGUAACUAUAGAAAUAGAAGAUUGCAAUGUCAUUAGAUCAUUUUAAUCACUUUCCAGUUACAUCUCUCCUUGCAUAAGUUUUCACGAAAGACAUCAAGAAAGAUCAGGAAGAAAUAUUGCACAACUGCAGAGCCUAAUGAUUUCACUUCAGAGUCUUGUAAACCCUAUUAUUAGCUCCUGAAAUCACACUUCUGUUUAGAUUAGGGUGAGUAGCACAACCCUUUCUAGCUUUUCAGCUAUUUAAUUCCUCAUUUUAGUAAUUCACACAUAAAUGGAUGUUCACUUACAAACACUGCUAGAUUAAACCACAAUACUAAAUUGACUACGACUCCCUGCUGUUGGUUAAAAUACAUACAUGGUUUGAGGAAUUAACUGCUGCUUCCUCCCCAGAAUAUGAAGGCUACCAUACUGGUAGCCUACUGGUCAUUCUAAUAUGCAGAAGUUCAGCAGCAGCUGUCUGUGCAUUUUCAACUGAAAGCAGAGGAAGAUGAUGAUGAUCUGUUCUGCUAUAGCUUCCAACAUACUGGCAGGAUAAAACUUCAUUUUAGGACAGUACUUAUGACUUAGAGGACAACAUUUAGAGUUCUCCUUAUACCAAUGUACUUGUAUGAUAUUUGGUGGAUUUCUUAUUUGAUGUUUAGAAAAAUAAAGGUUAAAAAGAGUGGAAAAGGACUGGGCUAGUACACAAAAUGAGACUGCCCAUCAUGCCAAACAGCUCCUUCUUAGAAUACGCUGUCUUAAUGGCCAGGCAUCAAACGAGGGAAGAUAAAGCUUUUGGAAGCUCUCUUUUCAGUCACUGCAGAGAAAGGUAAAUUGGAUUUUCAAGCCAGAUACUAAUUCAGAAGUGCAAAGGCACACAGCUGCAUAACCUGUGUGCCUUUGGGGUGGUCAAAACACCUAUAAAUAGCUAAUCCUUUGGCGCUUUCCCCUUGCUAUGUUUUUGCUACUGCAGUAGCACACAAGAGCUCCUGGUUUUGCAUUGACUCUUCUUUUACACUGUAACUAGGCAACAUCCCUCUCUAAAAACCCACUGAUCCUUGCCCCAAACAGCUAGCAAUAAAAGGGAGCAAUGUGACAACAACUGAAUAUAAUUGACAGGGUGGGAGAUGGACAGAUUGGUCUGCAAAACAUAAAGAGUCACAGCGCUGCAGCUGCUUAACCAGAAAAAAUGUUCUAUGCUGGCACUGGGCAGAGGAUGAUGACUCUACUGAGACAUUUAGAAGAGGCAAUGGUGGUGGUUUUUUUUUGCAGAUGUCUUUUGUUGUUGUGUUUUUUAUUGUUUUUUUUUUAUUCCCUCCCUUUAAUUUAUACGAAGCUCCUUGCUCCAUGCAUUUUGCAGUACUUGUAGAUUCCUAUUACAGUUAGGUUGUUGUACAAAGUCCAUCAAAGUUCUGUGAGAAGUACUGACACAGAUACUUUGAGUACAAAAAAAAAAAAAAAAAGAUACAGGAAACUAGUCCAUGAGAAAGCAAGACGUUCAUUUCUGUGAGAACGGGACACCCUGUUGUUGUGUCCCAGAUACUAUAGAUAGAUUAGAUUAGACAGAUACUAUACAAGCUUUUGUUGAUAUUUCUACUAAUAAUCUUAUUCUAUAGCAUUAAAACAAUAUCUCAUGUACCAAAGUCAAAUCUAGUUCAGCUCAGUAUCAUGCUGCAAUGUCAAAGGAUUGCAACUCAACUUAAAUCCAGAAAUAUUUUCAUUAAGACUGAUGUUAAAUUCAAGACAUUUUUUUUUAAACAAUGUGUAAUGACUGGCAGCAUCACCAAUCCCAUUUCUGAGACAGUUAACUUAAACAUUUUUAGGUAAAUUAGAAUCACAGAACAGUUUGGGUUAGAAGAAACCUUAAGGAUCAUCUAAUUGCAAUAUCUCUGCCAUGGGCAGGGACACUGUCCACUAAACCAGGUUGCUCAGAGUCCCAUCCAACCAAAAUUAUUUAAGGAAAAAUGAAGAUUAUUUCUUACGGAGUCAGUACUAUAAAAUAAACAGUUCAGAUGAAUCCACUGAAUUUUCCAAUUGGACAACCUGGGACAGUCAACAUUGUAAGAAAACAGAUGCAACUGCAUCCUAAGACUGGCUGAUUUGUGUACAUACACACAGCAAGUGUACAAGGAUAUCUCAUACUCUGCACUCAUAAGGCAAUGAUCUAGCUCAGUCACAAAUUACACAGUAUCAUUUUUUAAGCACUUCUACCCUCUGAUAAUGUGAUAUUACUAUUUCACACUGUCCCUUUUGAAUGAUGUUAUUUAAAAGCAUUUACAUAGUCUUGAAAGAUGUGCGUAACCAUAGAAGCCUGGCCCUAACUAAGCCAGUCCAAAGGUAAGAUAUUUUUAAUCACCGCUUCACAGUUGGAGUUUUGAAUAGCUAUGAGAUUAAUAUGGAUACUCUCCAAUGCUUUUGGGAAAUGAUGGAUCAGACACAGUUACAGCAGCUCUAAAAGACUAGAGAAAAUAGAGGCAAAGCAAUGUCACUGCAUGACUAAUUGCAGAAGUUGCUCAAAACAUCUUUAGCUAAUGUUUUGCAAGAGGUCAAAGAGAAUAGUAAUUAGUAUGCUUGAACAUAGAUAUGCAAACUAAGCUUUUAUCCGGGGAGCACGAUGUCUUAAGAGACGCAUAUGAAUCCUGGGAGGGUGAGGAGUGAUAAUCAAAAAGCAGAGUACAUACUGGAAAAGGGUGGGAAGGUCUCAUGGGUAAGAAAACACGCCUCACAGCAGGACAGUAAGGAAUGAAUUACUAGCCACAGGAAGAAUGUAGGGUAGUAGGUCAGAUACAGGAAUGAUAUUUUUCCAGUGAGAUUAUGGUGCUAGCAUUUAGUCCUUUCUGGCUUGAUCUUCUUCCCUCAGCAAGUUCUUAUUACUUUCUGAAGUAUUACUGAAGAAUUGCUCUUGACUAAUACAGCUGGCAGUGUGAUCAAGGAUAAAAGACAAUGGCUUUGGGACAUUAAUGGCUUUAGUACAUUCAUGUUUACCAUCUCAUAAGAAAAUAUAAAGCAUAUUUCAUGCUUUAUCUGAAUGGAGAACUGCUUUGACUGUUGAACUCUGAAAACUGGGCCUGAAAUUUAAUAACAGCCUGCUUUUCAUUCUGGCCCCCACUCAUUACCAAAACUGAAAUUUGGCAACUGGAAUACUUUCCCCACUUUUCAUCACCUUUUUUUUUUUUCUUUUAAAUAAUUAUUUGACUAGAAUGUGGAUCAACAGUGCAGAAGGGGAAAAUAUCACAGAAUUCCUCCAAGCUCCUGAAAUAAACAAAAGCAAUAAAAAUGACAAGAAAAAAUAUCAAUGAAGGCCAACAUAUCCCCUUAGUUUAUAUUAUAUUUUGACGUGUUAAACAGCUAAUGAGUGUUUGUGAGCCAACUGCUAUGACUUGGAUAAUAAAAUAGACAAUGAAUGAA